AUGCCUCAUCACACCCAUCAAUACCAUCUUCCUUGUUUGUAUUGUCAUCCACAUAGCUAUAUUAGGAUGGUUCACAAUUUGAUAGAGAGAUGCUUGAUGUUUCAAAUGAGUCAAGAUCAAUGCAUUAAGACAUUAGAAGAACAUGCAGGGAUUGAGCCACUUGUUACUCUUACAGUUUGGAGAGAGUUGCAAAAAGAGAAUGAGGAGUUCUUUAGAGCAUAUUACUUUUCAGUUGGUCAUUCUGAAAGGAAACAUUGGAAAUGA